rnacentral:rRNA from 1 species
UAGGGAAUCUUCGGCAAUGGACGGAAGUCUGACCGAGCAACGCCGCGUGAGUGAAGAAGGUUUUCGGAUCGUAAAGCUCUGUUGUUAGAGAAGAACGUUGGUAGGAGUGGAAAAUCUACCAAGUGACGGUAACUAACCAGAAAGGGACGGCUAACUACGUGCCAGCAGCCGCGGUAAUACGUAGGUCCCGAGCGUUGUCCGGAUUUAUUGGGCGUAAAGCGAGCGCAGGCGGUUCUUUAAGUCUGAAGUUAAAGGCAGUGGCUUAACCAUUGUACGCUUUGGAAACUGGAGGACUUGAGUGCAGAAGGGGGGAGUGAAAUUCCAUGUGUAGCGGUAAAAUGCGUAAAUAUAUGGAGGAACACCGGUGGCGAAAGCGGCUCUCUGGUCUGUAACUGACGCUGAGGCUCGAAAGCGUGGGGAGCAAACAGG